AGGUUCUAAAUAAAACUUGAAAAUAGAAAAUGGAAAAUCCUAAUGGAAAACAAAAAAGUGGCGAGGCUAAAAAGCACAGACAACGUACAAAGAAGUUGCUUAACUUGAUACAGAAACAGCAUUCCCUGCUGCAUUGAACGCUGUUAAAAUAUAUUCUGAAUAAAAAGAUUUCCGCCCACCGUAUCAUCGCUGCAUGGUUCACCAAGCAUGUCUGUAGAUUUUAAAGUAAAACGAAAAUGCUAUCAAUGUCAGGAAAACGAGCAGCGCAGGUAAACGAGAAAAAAAAACAAUAAAAAAAGGACCAUAGAAAAAAAGGAAAAAGAUCCAAAAGCAACACUCUUAGAAGAAAUGCGAUUAAUGAAGAUUUUAAAUGCAGAUUAAUGAAGAUUUAUGAUUUUAGAAAAAGGAAGUUGGAUUGGAAAUAGAAUAAAGUCCCCAUUAUGCAUAUCCAAAAGAGCUUGACUUUUACUUUAGCGAUGCAAACCUGCACCAUGAUAGAUUUUUUCGCAAAGAAAUAGAGACAAAUACUGAAGGCUAUAUUGAGUUAGCAACAAUAUUAAAAUGCAACAAAAUUAAACAAUUGACGAUGGAUAUGACUGUGCUUGCAAAAGCUGUUGAAAAUUCAGAUCAACUGCAGCUCAGUGAUGAUCGAACAAAGUUGAAAAGAAUCAAACCAUUGCCUAGGCAUGAAAAUACAGAUUUACAAACUGUUUAUGUGGAACAGUUACCAGCUUAUGUUGACCAUGACUGGUUGAAGCAAGUAUUUUCAACAUGCGGAACAGUAGAUUACAUCAGUUUACCAAGAUAUCCACAAACAAACAAAAUUAAAGGAUUUGCCUACGUUGAAUUCUCGAAUCAACAAGGUGCUGAAAAGGCUUGCCAGAUACUCAACUCAGCUGCUCCAUAUAAAAACAAAAAACGCCAUAGUUCAUUGGAUUCAAAAUUACCCUACGUGGAAGAGAGUAAACCCAAGUUGGGAGGUAAACGAAGGAGAUCCAAAAGUUUAAGUGAAUCGGUUUCAGAGGACAAGAAUUGCAAAGUAAACAUUUUAAAACGAAAACGAAGUGCCAGUGUAAGCUCGGAAGACUCACCUGUUAAACCCAAACUUCGAAAGCAAGAUCGAAACUGCAAGGAGAGUAAACAAAGCGAGUCACAAUCGAGUUUAAAUAAUUAUAUACAUUUAUCUAUUAAGGGAAAAAGAAGUAGAGACUCUUCUAACGAUGAAAACGAAAAUUCAAAACAGGUUAAUUAUAAAACUACCACAAGUGGUUGCACUGAAACAUGUAAAAGUAGACGUAAAGAAGUUACAAGUGAGAAGAAAAGUCAAGGAGAUAUAAGUAAGAAGAAAAAACCCCGCAAACAUAAAAAAACACAACAACACAUCAACGGUGAUAAUGAUGCAAGAGAAAUAUGCGUUCCACCACUUUACGUAAUUAGCAAGACCGAGUGGCUGGUUCUAAAAAAACAGUAUAAAAAUCUGUGCAAAAAGGAAAUAUCUCAACUGAAGCGAACAAUGAAAAUAUUAAAGAGUGAGAAAGUUUAUCAGGUUGAGCUUAAAGAAAAAAUUCAAAAAACUAUAAUGGAAAAAAAGAAUUCACAAAGUGAAAAAACGAUUUUGCAAAGCAGGCCCAAGCAUGAGCAACAACACAAAGACGAAAAUACCAACCAACAAGCUGUUAUAAAAAAUGAUGAUCCAGCUUUAAAGCCAGAAAAAACUUUCCAAGUCACUCCUGGCACUGUAGUGAAGAUGAAAACAGACUCAAAUGAACUAACUAAAAAGACAAUAAAGGAGGUAUUGUCAAAACUGGUGCAAGUUUCGUAUGUUGACUACAAGGAUGGCGGUAGGACGGGGUUUAUUCGAUUUCCAACAGCUGAUGCUGUGGAGAAGUUACGUAAAGUUGAAUUUUCGACAUCUGCGUCUUGGAACUUCACUUUGACUAAAAUUUCAGAAUCUGAAGAAGAGGAGUAUUUUAAGAAGGCUGAAGAAGACAGACGUAAAAAAUACGAACAGAAUAAUAAACGAAAGAAAACACGUGGCGUAGAGAAGUUAACACUCGCAUUUCCUUAACCUUGAAUUAAGGUAAAUACGGAACGGAAUACGAAUCCUUCAAAGAUGCAUAAAGGUAUCAAGAGCUGCUCUAAAACAUUUAAAAAUGAUUGGAUUGCAGUGGACAAGGUAGAUUUAUCCCUCAAUGAGGCUAACUACAUAACAUGUAACCCACUAUUGUCAUAUGAAUGAUUUCUGUCACAAAAAGGUAGUUUUGGAAGUAUUGAAAACUCACAUUUCACACAUUUGAGAUUUCAGAAUUAGGAUAUUAAAUUGAAUUUUUCAUUCUGUUUGGGGCAAGUUAGACUUUAACCUCAUGUUCUUGCUUGUUCUUGUCACAUUUCAAGCCUCUAUCCCAGCUUCUAUUUGGUAAACAAAAAUGAAAUGAAAUUUCCCAGUGAUUUUGCUCGGUCGAAACAAAUUUUUCCUUUGAGGAACAAUUUUAAAAAAAAAUUCUUGAAAAAAAAAUGGUUCUGACGUAGAAAUAAAAAAGUCACAAUUGUAAAAUUUUGUUCACUAAGGGAUAGUUAUAUCAAACUUUAAUCCGAGAAAACUAUGUGACAUUUUUUUGUUAAGUCAAAACGAAUGUUUGAUUUGAUAUUUUCACAAAUCGACACUGAAAAUAUUCCAUAAAGAUUAUUUAUGUGAAUAGAAACUUCCGCGAAACAAAGUUUGUGAUUUUUGGUCUACAUAGGAAAAAUUAGGCCCCGCGAAAAAAUUGACUUCUAUAAAUCACGAAAUUUUAUUCUCGCGAAAUAUUUGAUUUUUCCCCACUUGCAUUUGUAUAUAUUUUGUAUUGUAGUGUGAAGUAAUACAUAUUUUAUUUCUUCGUUAUACCCUUGAAUUCCCGAAAGUUAAUUCUCGCGAAAAAUCCAAUAUCAGCCAAUUCGCGAAAUUCACAAAAUUUUCUAUCAAAGAUUUUGCAAUUGUUUUGCCUCGCAAAACUUAAUUUCGCGAAAGUAAAUGAAGUUUUUAAGUAAACAAAUUGGAACAAUUGUGCAAGAUUAAUUUUCAAGAUUGUAUGUAUAUAUAAGCGAGAACACAAUAUAAAAAAGGUCGUUGGUUGUUGGAAAAACAUUGAGGCUAAAAUUUUGCACGUUUACAGCUGAAAUCCAGACGUUCUGAUAAGAAAAAGUUGUAUAUUGUUUUCUUUUCUACUGGAUAAAAAUCAAAAUAUAUAGAGUGCCAUUGAAAAUCCCGUUUUACUUUUUCUAUAUGUGGAGAUUUGUGAUAAGCUUUAUGCUCUAUGAAUUACCAUAGAAGUAAGUAUUAAGGUUAGCCAUAUAAUAUUAAUAGUAUAAAUAUUCACAGUCAGUAAGAGGUAGUGACAGGGAGUGUGACUUUCUUUGUCGAUUGCUCAUGCAGCUAAGUCAUAUCUGCAACCCUGGAAAACAUAGCCUUUUCUGUCGAAAUCUCUCCCCUGAUUAGAGUAAUAUGAAGUGUCACUGAGUGUUAGUAAACUUUACGCCAGUUUUAGUUUAAAAUUUAUUAGGGAACAGUAAAAUAAAAAAGUAUUUAUAUCCUAAAAACGCUAGGUAGAUAGGUUUUAGUUUUAGCUCGCUAACAUAUACCAACAGAUACACUUAAAGCUGCAGUAUUUAAACUUGUUUGUCGCACUACCACUAUCGAACUACCCUCUUUAUAAAUGUUAAUUACGAUUUUGGGACACUGUCAGGUUAGAGCUGUAAAAGUCAACAUUUUGUGGAUUCAUUCUUCAAACUUGCAUGUAAACAUCCAUCAUUUCGUAAUUUGCUCAUAACUAAUCUCUUUUUUAUGUUAUUCUGCAUUUUUCCACGCGUAUUUCGCGAAAAUGUAUAUGGAAAUAGGUCUAUUGAAUCUUUAAAAAUAUUGCCUUGAAAGAUAUUUCCCAUGCUUUGGUGUGUUUUGUUUUUUCAGGACACAAAAUAAUAUCAGUAAAAUUUCAGCCUUCUCCAUGUUCUUAUUUUGUGUUUGUUUUUUAGCUAUUCUCAGCCUUAUUGUUCAAAAGGGAAGAAUGAAAAUUAACUGGAUACUCUACAAAAUAAUAAGUCAAAUAACUAGUCAUGUUGCGAAUGCUAUCUAUCUAUAUAAUAAUACGCCAGUUCCGUGUCUCUGUGACAGGCAAAGUGGAUGUCUUCAUUUUUCUUUGAUGUUGCCGAAAAAUGCAUGUCUAAUAUGUUAAAUUUUCUGACGUUACGACGCGACGUCAAUAGCACUACUUUAACGUCAAUAUCCUAUAUUAAAUUAAUGAAGCCAUUACAGUGCACCUAAAAUUUAGAGGCCAAAUAACUUAGAAACGAGGUGGUGACGUCAAUGAUUUUUCACCGCGUGGGUAAUUAGGGACCACCUAUGACUAAUUUGGGUAAUUUUUCCAAACCCGGUCCCCAAAUCCGUUUCGGAAUGGACGGGUUGAUGACGUCAUCAAAAAACCUUCAACCCUUAAUAUCUCUGCAACCGUUUGUCAAAAGUACAUAAUCCUAUACAUUUUCUUGAUCAGCGUUUCAAGAUUUAUACGAUGUAGGCAACAGGUAUACAAAUUUCUAAAAAAAAUUUUUUAAGGUUUUGACGGGCCAUUGCUGACGUCAGCAAGAUAUUUAAGCCUUUAUAUCUUCUUAACCGUUCGUCAAUAGCACAUGAUCAUUACAUUUUCUUGAUCAGCAGUUUAAGCUCUACACGAUGGAGGCAACGUGAAAACAAGGUUCUUUUUUGUGGAUCGGUUGCUGACUUCAUUAAAAUUCGAAUGACGCUUCUUCUUCAUAUUUAUCCUGCCUCAGUGGAUUUUUCCACGGGCUUUAUCGACUAGUCUCUUAUAAUAAUACGGAGCUUCUGUCUGUGACUUUUGCAAAGUGGAUAAAAUUUCUUUGAUAAAGUCUAUAAAACAUCGCCUAUAAAUUUGUUCUGUAAAUUAGCAAACUUUGACGUUAAAGCAAUAUUGACGUCAAAGGAAAGUAUAUUAAGAUUAGUGAAGCCAUUGCAUUGCACUUUUAAAUUUAAGGCUUAAUAACAUGAAAACGGGUGGAAAUAACUGACGUCAUCUCCUGCGUGGGUAACUAGGGACCACCUAGGACCAAUUUGGGUAAGUUUCCCAAACCUGGGUCCCCAAAUCCGUUUCGGAAUGGGUGGGUUGAUGACGUCAUCAAAAAACCUUUAAACCCUAAUAUCUCUGCAAUCGUUUGUCAAAAGUACAUAAUCCUAUACAUUUUCUUGAUCAGCGUUUCAAGAGCUAUACGAUAGAGGCAGCAGGUAUAUAAAUUUCAAAAAAAAAUGUUUUGUGUUUUCACGGGCCUUUGCUGACGUCAGCACAAUUUUUAAAUCCUUAUAUCUGCUUUUGCGUUGGGAUCUUCACUGCUGCCUCCAGCAAAACAUCUAAAACAACCUAUUUUUCCAUUGCCCAUCUGCCUAAGUGGAUUUCUCCACGGGCCUUAUCGACUAGUCUAUAUAGUAAUACGCCAGUUCUGUCUGUGACUUUUGCAAAGUGGAUAAAAUUUCUUUGAUAAAGUCUUUAAAACAUCGUCUAUAAAUUUGUUCUGUAAAUUACCAAACUUUGACGUUAGAGCAAUAUUGACGUCAAAGGAAAGUGUCUAUAAUAAUAGCCGUAUUCCGUCUGUCUGUCUGUCUGUCUCUGCGCGGAACAUGGCGGAGCAAGUAGCGAGACAUACGCAAAAUCCCCGCGGCCCUGCAGCUUUGUUCAAUCACGAGGCUCCAUUUUUACUACUGACCAAUCCAAGUGCUUCGCGGCCUCAACAUGCCAACGGAGGAAACAUGCUACCCCUAAAUAGGUCAUUUUGUUCCUUUUUUCUUCUGAGUACUUUGUAUCCUAUAGGAUUAUUUAGUUUCUGUGUUUUCACAUGUUCAGGUGAGUAUAACAUGACGUUUUCUAGCCAUGUAUAAAUCUUAAACAAAACAAUUUUUGAAGUGGCUACAAGUACGUGACCGUAUUUCUACUUUUUUUUUGCUAGAAGUACGGCAUCCACGUAUUUUUACUAUUUUUUGCUAGAAGUACGGCAUUUACGUAUUUUUACUUUCUUUUGCUGGAAGUACGGCACUCACGUAUUUCUUUUUUCUAGAAGUCGCUUGGCCAGCGGGUUGGUUGGAGAGUUGACGAUAAAAAGAUAUUUUCUUUUUAGGUUCUCUGUACUAGGAGCUUUUAUUUACAUCUCUACAACUUUGACUACGUAUGUUCAACGGCUGAUUAUAUGUUUUCAGGCUACGGUCAUGUUAAGAAUAUUAUCAAGAAGAUAUGAUGCUCAUAUUAGUAAAAAAAAAGAACAUUGAGGCUGCAACGAGUAUAUGUGUACCUUUGUCAAAUAGUUCAGCGCUAGUGUGGGGAAUGAAGUGAAAUCUAAGUUGUCGAAAGUUAUUUUUUGAAUAGUAUAUUACACCGGAAACACCAUAAAGUUGUGUGCACUUUACUUGAUUUUCUACACACUUUAUGGCUGUACUAAAGCGCUUUACCUCCUGAAUGUGUGGCACAGUUGACAGUUCUUCUUAAUCACUCAAUCUGGUGUUUAAUGCUGGGUAACAGCCCCUUGUGGCUUAACCCGGCGUUUCAACAGAGUGUAUCCUGUGUUUUGUAAACCAAAGCCGCAAUAGAUUUUUUGAAUAGGGUCUUAAGCCUAAACGCAUGUGCUGCACGGUUUACCUGUACUAAGCGCUCAGUCCAGUGUCACAAUUAAUUUGUUAACCUUUACUGAAACUUAUUUCGCAAAAUAAAAUAAAAUUGACCAAUUGUUUUCCUAUGACGGGGUAACAAAUGGUUGUAACUUGUGUUUUUAUUUUGGCUAAAGUUGCAGUAGAGUUAUAUUUUCAAAAAUACACUACAGCCGAAACACUAUAGUGUUGUGUUCGCUUUACUCGAUUAACGACAUACUGCAUACCUGUACUGAAGCGCUCCACUUGACCAUGUGGCACAGUUUACGGCUCUUAUUAAGCGCUUCACAUAGUGUUCAACGGCGUGUCACACCUUGACUUGUGACUUACCCCGGCGUUUCGACGCCGGGUUUCCCGGCUAUCUAUAUUAUAUUGCCUGUGUACAUCUGUUUGUCUGUCACACAAAAUGGUAGCUUAGCUGCGUAAUAGCGAGAAGCACGCAAUGCGGUAUAAAAAGGACGGGCGAACCCGUGGAUUUUCCACGGGCUAACGACUAGUAUAUUAAGAUUAGUGAAGCCAUUGCAUUGCACUUCUAAAUUUAAGACUAAAUAACUUGGAAACGAGUGGAAAUAACUGACGUCAUCUCCUGCGUGGGUAACUAGGGACUAGCGGGGACCAAUUUGGAUAAGUUUCCCAAACCUGGGUCCCCGAAUCCGUUUCGGAAUGGACGGGUUGAUGACGUCAUCAAAAAACCUUUAAACUCUAAUAUCUCCGCAACCGUUUGUCAAAAGUACAUGAUCCUAUAUAUUUUCCUGAUCAGUGUUUCAAGAUCUAUACGAUGAAGGCAACAGGUAUACAAAAAAAUUAUGCUUUGGCAGAUCUUCGCUGGCGUCAGCCAAUUUCUUAAACCCUUAUAUCUCCUUAAGCGUUUGUGGAAAACGUAUGAUCCUAUACAUUAUUUUGAUCAGCGUUUCAACCUCUACACAUUACAGGCAAAGAAUAAACUAACUUUCGCCCAUUAUUUUUUUAUCUGCACUGUUGACAUCAGCAAAACAACUAAAACAACCUAUUUUUUUAUUAUUCUUCUGCCUAAGUGGAUUUUUCCACGGGCCUUAUCGACUAGUUAUGUAAUAAUAAUAAUUUGUUAUUUUUAUUGCUAGAUGUGCCUUAACCUUUUUGUGUAAAACAGUUUAUUGAACAUAUUUCAUAAGUUUAUACUCGUUGUUAAUAGUACAGGGAAGUAUCUUUUCCUUAAUUUACACACUGUUAGUAACGUUGAGCUUAUUUAGUACUGCUAUUGUAUUUAUAUAUGUGAUAAAAUCCUUCAGCCAUUCUACCUAUGACUCAGAAUAAAAUGCUUUUUAUUAACAUUUGUUUAGAUUCUUUUUCAGGACCUUGCUUAAAUUUUUCUUUUGGUUUAAUUUGCCGAUCAACUAGAAAAAUCGUUUUAACGUCCACAUUAUGUAAACACGUGCAAUUAAUUAUUUCAAAAUUUCGAUGGCGUCUGCCAGGACCAGUCAGCACACCAAAAAUUUUUUUGAAAAUUUGUUUACACGCUGCUUUUAUUGUGUAAAUCUGAAAACGCUGAUAAAGAAAAUGUAUAGAACCAUCCGCUUUUGAUGAACGGUUAAGGAGAUACAGUUAAACUCAUGUAAUUCGAAUCUGCAAGGGGAUUCAAUAUUGGUCGAAUUUUGGUGGGGAAGUGUUAACGGGUUUACGGCGCUAUUAAUCAUCAAUGUUGUAACAUCCUACGAAGUAAAAUGACGCGUAGUGUUUGAGAAAUAAGUUGCUAUUUUCAUGUAAAACAAGUGUUACAAAUUUUUAAUUAUUAUUUUUCUCAUAAAAGUCCAUGAUUUUGCUCUGACUCCUAUUAACCAAUCUUCAAUGGUUGCUCUUAUCGGACAUUUGCGACACCAGAGUAUCAAACUUUGGAUCCGUCUCAAACAACGUCAGUCUCUAUUGCGUCUUCAAUUUUGUAUUGUGACGGUGGCGAAACUGGAUUGUCGUUACGACAGUCAUCAUUGUCAUCAUUAGAGCUAGCAUCACGAUCAACAAUCUCGACCUCUUUAUAUUCACUCACUAUUUCAGCGACAGACAACGGGCGUGAUUCAUUGGUCAAAAGCUUUAUGUCGAAAUCCACAAGGGAUUCAGCACCCAAAUCCUCAGGAGCCAUGUAUGGUCUGACCUUAAAAAGUUGGUCUAAAUCAAAAUUCAGCUCAUCCAAAACGUCUUGCUCAUCAGCACUUUCAUCAUCUGAAUCAUUGGUCCUAUUCUUGAAAGGGUCGUCAUCAUCGUCAACAGCAGCUUUCCGAGCAUCUUCUGAAAUUCCUGAUUUUCGAAAACAGUUAACGAUUGUUGUUUUAGAUACAUCAUCCCAAGCUGUCUUGAGCAUCAUCAUGGCUUUUAGGAUUGAUGUGUUUGGCAGCUCUUGUCUAACCCUCUUAUGAUCUUUCGAACACCAAUGACAAGGGAUCGGUAUUUGGCCUUUAAUGAAUGCCAUUGUUGGGAAUGAUGUAAAAUAUCAACAGACAAACAAAACACUCAAAAAGCAUUCUAUUCUAUUUCAAUGAAACGUUCCAUUGGUAAAAACGUUCGAAUUUCACGGGAAAGUUCAAUUAUUGGAAAAAUUCGAAUUUCAUUGAAACGUUCAAUUGUUAAAAAAAUUGAGUUUUAGAACUUUGAACAGACGAAAAUUUUCAAAAUUCUAAUUACAUAAUCAAAAUUUGCUCACGGGACCAAGAAAACUGUUCGAUUUACGUGAGUUUGAAUUAUAGGAGUUUUCUUAUAAGGAUUUUAGAGUAAACUCGGACGGGACCGGAGAAUUCGUUCCAUUUAUAUGAUUAUUCGAAUUAUAGGAGUUCGAAUUACAUGGGUUCAACUGUAUAAAGGUUUAAAAAUCUUGCUGACGUCACCAAAGCUCCCCCUAAAAGUAAAAAAAUAUUUUCUUUAGAAAUUUGUAUACCCGUUGCCUUCAUCGUAUAAGAUCUUGAUGUAAUUUUAACAAACGGUUACGGAAAUAUAGCGGUUUAAAAAAUUUUUGAUGACGUCUAUUCCUAAACGUAUUCGGGACCCAGGUUUGGGGGACAGGUAAAAUAUAUUUCAAAGAGAACCACAUCAUUACAAUGAAAAAACACAUAUAGAACCGAAGACAUUAAGCGUGGAAAGAUAACACUAAACAUUUAAAAGUUGACACUACAGUUCUAGUUAUCGGAGAGCAUCUGCUUCUUUUCGCACUAGUUCAAAAUCGGGCAUCUCAAUAAAUCUCUUUUUGUGCGUGCGUGAUCCACGGAUGGACAGAAUCAUCCAUCUCAGCAGACUGUAAUUAACUCUUGUUCCUACAUAACUAACAAUUAAUUCACUAAAUUCCUUGUUUUUUUUAGCGUUGUAUGCUCUGCUUACUUAGCGUAAAAUCUACGACACUCCCGUUCCAUUCCUUCAGUGGCGCUAAAAACGAGUGGUGUGAACAAACCAUUUUUAGUUUGUAUAAUUCUAUCAUAUGCUCUUUUCUCCGACUUUUCGUUCGUGGCAUACGCCUUUUUCAUAGAAAUCUUUCUAUAGCAUUAAGCUUGUGGGUUGUAUACCCUUACAUCGAGAUACGCUCUCUGUCCAUAGCAUUAGAAAUCUCUAGCUGCAAUGUCAACACGGACCUCGUCUUGUUAAUUGUUGGAUGCAAUUUGCUCACCAGUCAACGGCUCGAGAUCUGGCUCUGUUGCACACAUCAGACAAUAGCUGGGUUGUAAUAUCCCUUAAUUCGUUGUGUCGUCUUGCAAUGAACCCUCCAGUAUGAAAGUCAAUGCAUGCUGCACAGUAAAUGGUGAACCGCAUGUAUGUAUGUAUGUUUCUUUAUUUAACGUUGGUCAAAUUUACAAGAUAGCUUUCGCUAAUAAAAACCAAAACCGCAUGGACAUCGUUCCGGUAAUCUGGUAUGUGGUAGGUUGUAUCUCAAGCGAAUAGCAUCCUAGAACGAUCUUUUAUCUAAUGUAAAAUUAUACUUUUCCAACGAAAGAACAGUCAACCAGUUGUAUGCUCCUCUGUCUGUAGAAGUAUCAAGUGUGCGCAUUUGUAAUUCGUUUACGGCCAUGGCUUUUACGGCUUUUAACUGUGCUUCAUUUCGGUCUUUUUUAUCGACUUGAAUCUGACUUUUUACUUUUCACAUUUUUUCUUCUUUGUUAAGCUUGACUUCUCGUUGUUCAAAAGCAGCGUUGCUUUCGUAAUUUUGAGUAUAACUUUGGAAGGUUUGCCGUUUGCAAUAGACUAAAUAGCUGAUCUUGUAUGACUUAACGACAAAUGUUGGAUUUUUUUUUAAUGUUUGGUUUCCUUUUUUUUUCCCUGGUGUACUUCUUGAAUGGCAAAGCAAGUAUAUAAUUUUAGCGUAUUUCGCUUUUUACGUAACGGUUGUUAGACGCCUUUGAUUUUUUUGGACAUUUUCCAUUUUUAUUUCAUAAUUUUUUUCAAUAUUUUUUUUGUUGCACAUGCUUAUAUUUUUAGACGUUUUGUUUCAGCGGUUAUAAACAUAGAAUAAUGCAGAUUGUGAGCUUCAAAUUACUGUGUUGUAUGUUUUUGUUUGGUAUCCCUUACAUCGAUUUAUGAGAGGUUUAGUGGAUUCUUCCACGGGAAUUUGGCUAGUCUAUAUAUUAAUACGCCUUGUGUGCGUGCGCGCACGGUGAGGCCAUGGCACACAAAUCACGGGUCACUUUCUUAUUUCUCAAGCAUUGUCUCUCCAAUGCAUGGCGUCACGUUAAAAUUUACGAAAUUGCUACACAUUUGUUGUUUAUUUUAGAAGUCGUACCGGGUCGUUACGAAUAGAAAAAUUAAAUUUUACCCCCGGUUUACCAUGUACAUGCGUAUCUCAUGGAAACAAGUUGUUUAUUACCUGAAAAAUGAAGACUGAAUUGAAGAAUGUUGUCUCUUUUUCAAAAUAAUCCUGAAGCAUGCCAGUGUUUACUCAUAAUCAUAAGGUUAGCUUAAAGAUUUUUGGGACCGAGGUUGCUUCCUUUUAUAUGAAUGAAUUCGAAUCUAAAAAAUGUAAAAUACAAACUGUUGUGUUGUUGUCGAACGAAGUUUGGGCUGUUAGUUAGAAAUAUUUUUUUUAAAAAAGAAACACGUACGAUGAUAUAGCAUCACAAAGAGAAUUGAUUGGAAAUGUAUCAAAAAAUUAUAUACGCUUUCAAUUUAUUCUGUUUGGGAUGAAGCGAAGUUUAGUAUUCGAAAUAAAAAUCUGAUUGAACUUUCAUCCAGAGAACGCUAGCAAGCCGCCUAUAGAGAAAGCGAAAGGAAAGCAGGUGUGUUGUUUAGAUUAUUUGCUAGAGAAAUGAAUUUGGGUGUAUAACGAUUUUUUAGCCGUUUUAACUUUUAAAGCUAAAUUUUCCCUUAAAUAUUAAGUUUCUUGUUGUGUCUUGAGCCGGAAAAUAUUUUCUUAAAGCACUUUUUUUGCAAGAAUAAACUCUGAACAAUGGGUCAGAAGUUAAGAAUAUCCUAAGAAUAUGUCUAAGCUUGAUUGUUUGUUCUAAAUAUGAACAUUUGUAUGACGCACAAAAUUGAUUAGAAGUUUACUUUUUUAUUGUAUAUAAAACAAACUGAACUUUUGUCGCUCCAAAGCAGUGGACCGUAAUGGAAUAGAAUUUUCCAUUACCUAUAGCAAGUGGUAGCAGGCUUUAUUUUAUUACGACAUGAUAUAUUUUCAGGCUAAGAACAUAUAAAAAAUAAUGAGGAUAGUAUUUGCUAAAAAAGUUAAGAACACGGCGAAGACUGAAACGAAAACACACUAUUCUUAUAAAAACAGCGUGUAUCCUAAAGAAGAAUUUAUAUAAACUGUAAAAAGUAAUUUUCUGUUUUUACUGUUUUCAACACUACAGAGUGUGGUGAUACA